rnacentral:rRNA from 1 species
AUUUACAGUUAUACCACCCUGAACGUGCCCUAUUUCAUUUGAUCUCAAAAGUUAAGCAGGGUCGGGCCUGGUUAGUACUUGGAUGGGAGACAUUUUUGCCAUAUACAGUGUUUUUGACUGAGAAUU